UAUGAUCUUACACGCAUUAUCCGCCUGGGUACUACGAGCGCUAGCUUAAAACCCAAAGGACUUGGCGGUGCUUUAGACCCACCUAGGAGGAGCCUGUUUCUAUAACCGAUAAUCCCCGUUCAACCUCACCCUUCCGUUUAUCUGCCUAUAUACCGCCGUCGCCAGCCCAUCCUGUGAAGGAUCUAUAGUGGGCUAGUCUGGUACUGCCUCUAAUGACAGGUCGAGGUGUAGCAUGUGGAAGGGGAAGCAAUGGGCUACAUUCGCUGCCUCAGUGAACUACGAACGGCACAGUGAAAGCCUGUGCCUGAAGGUGGAUUUAGCAGUAAGGGGGGAGUAGAGUGCCCCUCUGAACUUGGCUCUGAAGUGUGCACACACCGCCCGUCACCCUCUGCAGU
rnacentral:rRNA from 1 species